UUCGAAGCAACGCGCAGAACCUUACCAGCUUUUGACAUGUCCUGGACGGAUAGCAGAGAUGCUUUCUUCUCUUCGGAGCCAGGAACACAGGUGCUGCAUGGCUGUCGUCAGCUCGUGUCGUGAGAUGUUGGGUUAAGUCCCGCAACGAGCGCAACCCUCGCCUUUAGUUGCCAUCAUUCAGUUGGGCACUCUAGAGGGACUGCCGGUGAUAAGCCGGAGGAAGGUGGGGAUGACGUCAAGUCCUCAUGGCCCUUACAGGCUGGGCUACACACGUGCUACAAUGGCGGUGACAAUGGGAUGCGAAGGGGCGACCCGGAGCAGAUCUCCAAAAGCCGUCUCAGUUCGGAUUGUACUCUGCAACUCGAGUGCAUGAAGGUGGAAUCGCUAGUAAUCGUAGAUCAGAACGCUACGGUGAAUACGUUCCCGGGCCUUGUACACACCGCCCGUCACACCAUGGGAGUUG
rnacentral:rRNA from 1 species